ensembl:rRNA 5S_rRNA 5S ribosomal RNA
UUGUUUAGUCAGACCACCCUGAAUUCACUCCGUCUCCUCUGAUGUCAGAGGCUAAGCAGGGCUGGGCCUUGUUGCUGGGAGGAUGGGAGAGAUUCUGAUCCAGUAGAUCUGGGAUGGAACUCU